UGAAGCCAAGCUUGCUUGGUGGAUCAGUGGCGAACGGGUGAGUAACACGUGAGCAACCUGCCCUGGACUCUGGGAUAAGCGCUGGAAACGGCGUCUAAUACUGGAUAUGAGCCCCUAUCGCAUGGUGGGGGUUGGAAAGAUUUUUUGGUCUGGGAUGGGCUCGCGGCCUAUCAGCUUGUUGGUGAGGUAAUGGCUCACCAAGGCGUCGACGGGUAGCCGGCCUGAGAGGGUGACCGGCCACACUGGGACUGAGACACGGCCCAGACUCCUACGGGAGGCAGCAGUGGGGAAUAUUGCACAAUGGGCGAAAGCCUGAUGCAGCAACGCCGCGUGAGGGAUGACGGCCUUCGGGUUGUAAACCUCUUUUAGCAGGGAAGAAGCGAAAGUGACGGUACCUGCAGAAAAAGCGCCGGCUAACUACGUGCCAGCAGCCGCGGUAAUACGUAGGGCGCAAGCGUUAUCCGGAAUUAUUGGGCGUAAAGAGCUCGUAGGCGGUUUGUCGCGUCUGCUGUGAAAUCCCGAGGCUCAACCUCGGGCCUGCAGUGGGUACGGGCAGACUAGAGUGCGGUAGGGGAGAUUGGAAUUCCUGGUGUAGCGGUGGAAUGCGCAGAUAUCAGGAGGAACACCGAUGGCGAAGGCAGAUCUCUGGGCCGUAACUGACGCUGAGGAGCGAAAGGGUGGGGAGCAAACAGGCUUAGAUACCCUGGUAGUCCACCCCGUAAACGUUGGGAACUAGUUGUGGGGACCAU
rnacentral:rRNA from 1 species